GGAGUUAGCCGGUGCUUCUUCUGCGAGUAACGUCACAGAUGUAAGGUAUUAACUUACACCCUUUCCUCCUCGCUGAAAGUGCUUUACAACCCGAAGGCCUUCUUCACACACGCGGCAUGGCUGCAUCAGGGUUUACCCCAUUGUGCAAUAUUCCCCACUGCUGCCUCCCGUAGGAGUCUGGGCCGUGUCUCAGUCCCAGUGUGGCUGAUCAUCCUCUCAGACCAGCUAGGGAUCGUCGCCUAGGUGAGCCUUUACCUCACCUACUAGCUAAUCCCACCUGGGCUUAUCCAUCAGCGCAAGGCCCGAAGGUCCCCUGCUUUCCCCCGUAGGGCGUAUGCGGUAUUAGCAGUCGUUUCCAACUGUUAUCCCCCACAAAUGGGCAAAUUCCCAGGCAUUACUCACCCGUCCGCCGCUCGUCAUCUUCAAAAGCAAGCUUUUGAAAUGUUACCGCUCGACUUGCAUGUGUUAGGCCUGCCGCCAGCGUUCAAUCUGAACCAAGAUCAAAUUCUGA
rnacentral:rRNA from 1 species